UACGAAGGGGGCUAGCGUUGCUCGGAAUCACUGGGCGUAAAGGGUGCGUAGGCGGGUCUUUAAGUCAGGGGUGAAAUCCUGGAGCUCAACUCCAGAACUGCCUUUGAUACUGAAGAUCUUGAGUUCGGGAGAGGUGAGUGGAACUGCGAGUGUAGAGGUGAAAUUCGUAGAUAUUCGUAAGAACACCAGUGGCGAAGGCGGCUCACUGGCCCGAUACUGACGCUGAGGCACGAAAGCGUGGGGAGCAAACAGG
rnacentral:rRNA from 1 species